AUUGGAGGAGGGAGACGUGGCACAGACCUGCGCUUCAUCCGCAGCCAGGAUCGAUCCCGGCCGGGUCUCUGGCGCUAUCCCGCCCCCUCCCGAGUAACCACCCCACCCCACCGGUGGCCAUAGAGGUCAGCAGCAAAGAUCCUCCGCUAUAGGAUCUUUGGUCGGUAGUCAGACUGGCGCGGUGCCUCCAGGCCCACAACCAGCGCAGAGAAGCAGCGCUAAACCAGGUCAACUCUGCCUGUCCCGCCAGGUGAGCCUAUAGCCCUUCCUGGACCUGCGGGAAAUAUGGCCAACGCGGAGAAGCAGCAUUUAACGCUGGAUUGAGCCUCCGAAGCCUCGCGCGUGUGAGUGUCUGGCGAUCUGACAACCUUCAGGAUUAAAUGACCUUCUGACUAGACUCCCAGACCCAUGUGUAAUCAAUCAGCGACCAUCGAGAUCCUCAGCCUUCCAACCCUCUAAAGCCUUGAUCUGUCGUAGACAAUGCCCUGUCACUGUGGCAGAGUCCCUGACUUCCUGGAGCAUCCGAACUGUGAAAAUCAACAAGAUCUGACGACCUAUGUGCAACGGCAGUCUGCAGGAGAGAUCAGCUACUCAAGAGUCGUACAGCGUGGGAAUAGCCUCUUCAGUUCAGCAUGACAAUAAUAAACCAAAACUUAAAACCUAAA